UACGGAGGGUGCAAGCGUUAUCCGGAUUCACUGGGUUUAAAGGGUGCGUAGGUGGGUAGGUAAGUCAGUGGUGAAAUCUCCAAGCUUAACUUGGAACUGCCGUUGAUACUAUUUAUCUUUGAAUAUAGUGGAGGUGAGCGGAAUAUGUCAUGUAGCGGUGAAAUGACUUAGAUAUGACAUAGAACAUCGAUUGCGAAGGCAGCUCGCUACACUAUUAUUGACACUGAGGCACGAAAGCGUGGGGAUCAAACAGG
rnacentral:rRNA from 1 species